GCCCUGCCCAUUGGCCGCUCCUCCCGCCCGCGAGACCCUCGGGUGCCUCCCGGGGAGCGGCGUGGAAGGCGUCUCGCGCGCUGGGCAGGUGCGCCCUCGCGGCUCCUCAUUGGCGGCGGCAAAAGCGGCAGGAGCAGCGCGGCGAGUGGAUCUGCUACUGCGAUUGCUGCUGCUGUUCUUCCCGCCUUCGCUGCAGACAGGUAGCAUGAGGGCCUCCCUCCCUCCGUCCCUCCGUCCUAGCCCUCCUCCUCCUCCGUUAGCAGUCCAGGCGAGUGCAGAGGCUUCCCCGGCGCAGAGCCUCGGCUAAAAUCAAGGAAAGGCGGCUCCUUGCAGACGGGCAGCCCUCAGGUUCAGAGGGCCACCUUUUGAAAGAGAGGGACGUGCGCAGUGAAGACAGUGCCCAUGUGCUGCCCGCAGACCCUUGCAAUCCAGAUGCCCUUUGUGGAUAAAAGAUGUAUCAUGGAAUGAAUCCGAACAGCAGGGAUCCCUUCCUAGAGAAGCAAGAGCAGCAGCCGCCUCCGCCGCUGUGCCAGCGCUUCCAGUCCAAGCUCUCCCUGGUGGUCUUGUGGUUCCAGCUGGCCCUCUGCUUUGGCCCUGCGCAGAUCACGGGCGGUUUUGAUGAACUCCAUGCUUGUGCGGAUCCAGGAUUCCCCGAAUAUGGAUAUAAGAUGCCCAGCGCAGGCGUUUUCUUCGAAAGCUCUGUAGUCCGGUUUUAUUGCCAAGAAGGAUACAGGCUUAAAGGUCCUUUCAAAAAGCUUUGCGAGAGACAUUUUAAUGGCUCCUUAAGCUGGAAGCCAAGUGAUAAACCUGUGUGCCUACAAGAAGUUUGUCCACUACCUCCUAGGGUGAUUCAUGGAGAUUACAUUUGCCACCCGCGGCCUUGUGAGCAUUACAACCAUGGAACUGUGGUUGAAUUCUAUUGUGAUCCUGGCUACACUCUCACCAAUGAUUACAAAUAUAUCACCUGCCAGUAUGGAGAAUGGUUUCCAUCGUAUCAAGUGUACUGUGUCAAGACAGAACAAACAUGGCCAAAUACACAAGAAACUCUUCUGACAACAUGGAAGAUUGUGGCGUUCACUGCUACCAGUGUUCUUCUGGUGCUUCUCUUAGUCAUUUUAGCCAGAAUGUUCCAGACCAAAUUUAAACCACGGUUUCUUCCAAGAGGUGCUCAGGAGAAUUGCAGUAGUGGUCCUGACUUUGUGGUGGUGGAUGGCGUUCCUGUCAUGCUUCCUUCCUACGAUGAAGCCGUGAGCAGUGGCCUGAAUGCCUUAGCCCCGGGAUGUGUGUCCCCUGCAGGCCAGGGGUAUGUUUUGCAGGCUGACGAUCAGAACCCUCCAGCCUAUCCUGGGCCGGAUGAUUUGGACAGGUUGCCAGCAGAGUUUGAUACCUGCGACAGCAUUUCAGGCUCUUCUGAACUUCUUCAAAGUUUGUACACAUCUUCAGUGUGUCAGAUAGGAGUAUAUCCUGUCUCUGAGAGAACUGAUGCUAUUAACAGCACCACUGGAGAAGUAGCAUCCACCAGCCCAAGCAUUGACAUUGCAGAUGAUUAAAAACCCACAACUCAUGGGGAAUUUCGGGUAUAAUAUGGAUCUGGAGAAUGUGAGUUACUUAUACAAGGCCAUUUCUUCAUCUCAUCAAUACUCAUAAGAAAUUCCAUUGAUGGAUGAAGACCCUUAAUCUACACAAAUCUUGCUCUUACUUUUGUGAGGGUUUGAGGGAAAUACCAUGCACAUAUGUAUACAUACAUACCUAUAUAUCUAUAUAAAUCUCUAUAUAAAGAUGGGGAGGGUAUUUUCUGUUUUUAUAUAUCUUUCACAUUAUGAUGUCACCAGAUUUUGUGUUCAUAACUUAGUCAACUUUGAAGGUUGAGAGCAUCAGCUAUUCAACAGCAGCUUUACAAAAUGAAUCCUGAGGAUUUGAUGAGGCUAGUCACUGCAAAAGAACAAUAAAUUCAUGGAAUAGUGACAAGUGUGUAUCUGCAUCGCAGGAAGUCUUAACAACUCUUUAGAAACAUCAGUGAGGGUGAUUUGUGGUACAGGUACAAAAAUGCCUAAUGAAAGCAUGUCUGACUAUGUACAUUUUGCUUUAUCAAAGCUGCUUCAUGUCUAUGAUGGACCACAAUUUCCAAAAGAAUCCUAACUUAUUGGGGCAAGGGGGAGAGAAUAAACAGUGUUGAAAUUAAA